rnacentral:lncRNA from 7 species
CAAAAAUAGCCCUUAAACCCCAAAAUACACCUUUCUCUUGGAAAUCACCCUUUUAACUUGAAAAUCACUCAUUUUCUCUUCAAAAAUCCCUCAUUUCACCCCAAAUCAAACGCUUUCGCUACAAGAAUCCCCCAUUUAACCUGAAAACCACGCAUUUCCUCUACAUCAAUUCAUGUGUAAACGAAGAUCAUGCAUUUCUCUUCAAAAACCCCCCACUUA